UCACCUGAAAGUUGCGUUACCUUCCGGCACCCAAGACCACGCCCGAGCCCAAGCCCCGACCGCCAGCCCGCCCCAAGGCUCCCUCCAUGGCCUCCUGCAGGGCUUGAGGUGGUCAGGCUCCCCACAGUGCUGCCCCUCGCAGUGCCAGGGCAGUGCCACACCUGUAAGCUGCGGCGCCAUGCCCGGUCUGAGGGCGCCGCUGGACUGUUACUGCCGCUAACACAUGCUGGACUACUACUACUACUACUACUACUACUACUACUAUCAGUGAGCUACUCCUACCAUAUCCAGCCAUGCCAUAACACCACCACCACUGCAGCAGAGAUGGAUUUUGAAAGCCCUCAUGUGGAGAAGGAGUUUCCGGGCCUGUACGCCUCCGAGUCCUCCAGACGCAGCGACAGCGAUUACUAAAGAAUUCUGAGCACCGAUUCUGUAGCGGAAAGUGUUGGCGUGUGUCAUUGCUUGCCGCGCUAAUAUGCAUGACGCUCUCGUAAAUUAGGACAGAGGGAGACAGCGGGCAUGAACGGGGGGGCAAGAAGGAGCUGUUGAGAAGCAAAAAGAAGGAGCGGAACGACGAGAAGAAAGACAAGGGUUACGCAGCGCUUGGAGAAGACAGCUCGCCAGACGACACGGAGGGCCAGGACA